GAAGAAGCAACUGAUUGUGUUCUAAUUUAAAUGUUUUGUAUAGAAACAUUGAACACUGAUUUUUCUUGGAUUAGUAUUCUUCCAGGGUGAUAAUAUAAUCAAAAAUAAUGUAGUAAUAUUUGGCUCCAAUUAGAUGUGUGGUAAAAAGAACCACAGCCUCAAGAAUUGACAUCUUGCACAGACAUAGAAAUGUUCAUAUUCAGAAAUGAAAAGGAACUGGUAACUUUCCAAGCCACUGAGCAACUUCAAACAGCUACCAUUAAAAAUAAAAAUACUUUCUCACACUGAAUAUGAAAUAUUUUCCAAAAAUACUCCAGAUUUCCUUGCAGUAAUUUAUCCAGUGGUUCUAAUACUUUAUCAAUGUCCUACAAUACAUCUGUGUACUGCAGUUCUGUAUAAAAAGGGCAGGGGGGAAGGCAUCAGAGAACAUUUAUUCAUUAAAAAGAAGAGUUUGAUAUCUGGCUUUUUAUUCUUGCAAUUGGAUUUUGUAUUUCACAGUCUUCACCCUCCUGUUUAAGAAUCUGAAAACAGGCAUUUGCUGGUUUACGUUGAAACACAGGAGUCUUCAGCUGCUUCCUAAUGUUUGUUCCACAGGAAGGGAGUUAGUUCAUAGCAUAGUGUGCUUUGUUGAAUCUGCAUCAGCAAAGCAGAUAAGCUCAGCCUCUUCAUCUGGAAAAGGAACAGAGGAGUAGCUCCAGGAGACAGUGCAAUACUCCAGGAUACUGUGAAGAUUUCAGGCAACAAGAUGACUUUCAGGUGGGGAUCAACAACUCUUGAGUCUGGAAGAGGUGAUCCUUGAAAAUCAGUCAGCCUUCCUGAACUCCUCCUCUCUUCUGCAAGAUGCUGUCACGUGGGAUACUUCCAAGCAGAUGUUGGAUUGGAGAGGCUAUUUAUGAACAUCAAACUGUGGUCCAUUUCUCCCUGGAGUAUCUUGCAGAUGCACAGCUGCAGCUCUUCAGCACCAAGGGAAGAAUGAGCUAUCCACAGACACCAGCAAAAAGCCGGGAACAUUCAGGCCACACAAGGAACUGCAUCUAUAUCCAGAGCAAAAACUUGGCAGUUGUCUCAAGGGAGCAAAGUUUCUCUCAUGCCCGAUUUAUAACCAACCAAGAAUUUCUCAGAAAUUGGGUUUUAACAUUUGUCAGCCACAAGUUGUCAACCAAGCCUAUUUUCUCCUGA
rnacentral:lncRNA from 13 species